rnacentral:lncRNA from 1 species
AAAAAUGUUUCCUGGUUCGAAAUAAUAUAAUUUUGUUAAAUAUUAACAAUUAAUUUGUUAAUAACAAAUUACCUGGCCACUUUUGGGAAUUCCAACCUCGAUAUUCGUGUUCAGGAGGCAAAAAUACAUAGAAAAAACCUUGGUGAUCUACUGGCCAUUCAAGUCCGACGAAAAGUGCUCAGCGCCUAGACUAUACUGCGUGUAUACUUGUAGGAUUAGUUCUUACUUUUUGGCGUGGCGGCAGUUACGUUGAAAAACUGAAAAGUUUCUGUUGAAUUUAAUACGCAUCGAUUAUUCAAGCAGUUAUUAAAACGAGGUGCUCACAGAAUAAAUUAUUCCCAAAAAGUGUUCACAAGCAAAUUUUCGAAAAUCAGCGAAUCCUUCCACCAAACGAACAGAUGAAAAGCAACUCUCUCAACAGAAAAAGCCUCUAAUUUGAACUUACAAGUGCAUCGGCAAAUGUAACGUCAAAGCGCUCCCGAACGGCCUUCUCCAAACUGGCAGCAACGUCAGCCAUAUCACACGCGCGUGCGCGCGCGCACACACACACUGUCCGAAGUUCAACAUUGAGAAAAUGAUGAACCCACUCUGUUAAUAAUGCACUUGUUUACCCGAAUGAGCACUCGCGAAGCGCUAGUAGAAGAAUUUGCAGCGUUCGCAAAUUACCAUUUUUUGCCCACGUUGACGUUCACGCGCUGCGAAAUUUAAUUUCCCGAAAAGAGACUGCAGAAUGUUUUCGCGCAAGUCGUGAAUUUUUCUGCGGAUCCUAAUUUUCGGACGGAUAACUAUUGACUUUUUCACGUGAUUUUACUGCGAUGCGACGCUUUAGGCGUGCGGGAGAGCUAGUUGAUUUGUACUUUUGUUAAUUGCAUACGCGUGGAUGUGGUACAAGAUGAAAGUAAUUGAUUUUCACGAGAGAGUUCGACUAUUAUAAAUGUAUAUUUAUGUGGGGCACGAAAUAAAGAACACAGGGCCAUCAAA